rnacentral:rRNA from 1 species
UAGGGAAUCUUCCACAAUGGACGCAAGUCUGAUGGAGCAACGCCGCGUGAGUGAAGAAGGGUUUCGGCUCGUAAAGCUCUGUUGGUAGUGAAGAAAGAUAGAGGUAGUAACUGGCCUUUAUUUGACGGUAAUUACUUAGAAAGUCACGGCUAACUACGUGCCAGCAGCCGCGGUAAUACGUAGGUGGCAAGCGUUGUCCGGAUUUAUUGGGCGUAAAGCGAGUGCAGGCGGUUCAAUAAGUCUGAUGUGAAAGCCUUCGGCUCAACCGGAGAAUUGCAUCAGAAACUGUUGAACUUGAGUGCAGAAGAGGAGAGUGGAACUCCAUGUGUAGCGGUGGAAUGCGUAGAUAUAUGGAAGAACACCAGUGGCGAAGGCGGCUCUCUGGUCUGCAACUGACGCUGGGGCUCGAAAGCAUGGGUAGCGAACAGGAUUAGAUACCCUGGUAGUCCAUGCCGUAAACGAUGAGUGCUAAGUGUUGGGAGGUUUCCGCCUCUCAGUGCUGCAGCUAACGCAUUAAGCACUCCGCCUGGGGAGUACGACCGCAAGGUUG